rnacentral:lncRNA from 1 species
UUUGGGGAGACCCCACGGCCGAGCCUGAGCAGGACGGGAGCGCGGCGGCGCGGCGGUGGCCCGGAGACACUGGGAAGCUGUGGCUCCUUGACGUGAGGAGGCUGGGGCCUUCCGGUCGUGGGGAGGAGUCUGGGGAGCGCCCAAGCGGAGGUUUUCUCCGAGGACCUUUCUCGCUUCCGGGCCUCACAGGCACAUCUGACACGCCCUGGCUAGUUCCGGGAAGCCGGUAGCUGUGCUGCUAAAAUUCCGGUUGCCCGAGUUACUGCCUGGAAGGUAGUAGUACGCGGAACCUCCAAGUUGGGUGACAGGUAGUUGGAGUGUUGCUGUCCACUCGUGGCUCUACAGCGGUUCUUGGGUCCCCCUGAUGUGACGUCAUAGUAAAGACUCAGUUCCUGAACUCAUCUUGACAAGCACUUCUUGAGGGUCCGGAACAAUGUGACAGUCCUGUUCCUCAAUUAAGGCCAUCAAUUCCUCAAUCACUAAGGGCCUUCCAUAGAUUAGUGCUCAUUACCACAGAGUCCUAGUACCCAGAUUAUAGCGGAGGCACCCGAGACUCUAAAAAUAAAAGUGUAUAUACCUUGUGGUGGCAUACACCUGUCCAGCAUGCACAAAGGCCCCAAUUUCAGUCCCCAGCAAUGGAGCAGAGAGGUUUUCUGAUACAUAAUAAAUCUUACAUUUUAUGUAAAUUACAGUGAUAAUUCCAGGAAACAGUGCAGGCAAACCACAUCUACAAAGACCAAGAGAGACUGCUUAUCUGGAAAUAGUGCAGAAGUGAGCUGGGUUGAUGGAUGGCUAUUUCAACAGAGGAGGAGAGGAAGAUGGCCUUGGGUCAAAACAGAAGGUUCACAAUAGUUACAAGGCUGAAGUUUAAAACUCAAUCAGUAAAUGGGAAGUAUUGGGCAAAUUAGUUAGAGGUCAUGACAAAGCACUUAAUGCCUUUCCAAGACUGGGUUUAUCUUGUUUUGUUUGCUUUAGACUUAAUACCUUGAAAAUAGGACACCAGAGCCAGGAAAGUGUUUUGAAGGAAGUAGAGGCUUAAGAGACCUCCCUCUUCCAGUAACUUGAAGGAUUGGCCAGUCUGAAAAUCUAUUAAAGCUGAACCCUUAAUAGAUACAGUACUUAAGAUAUAGAUUCUGUUUAGAAAUUGCCUUUGAAAAAGUGGAAAAUAUAUAGAUACAUACUUAUAUAAUGUCUAUGUCUAUUUUGUUUUCAAAUGAUCGAUUUAUUUCUUUACACACACAUAUUUAAACUGGGUUGAGUGCAAGGCAAGUGUAGAUCAGAAGAUAACUUAUGGGAAUUAGCCCACACUUCACUGUGUAAACUACAGAAGUUGGGUUAGAGUCAUCAGGCUACAUGGAAAGUGCUUGUCUGUACCUGCUGAGCCUUUCUCGGUUUGUUUGUUUGUUUGUUUGUUUGUUUUUUAAGUAGGAUCUCAUGUACCCAGGAUAACCCUUAACUCCUGACCUUCCUGCCCCUGCCUCCAAAUGCUAGGAUUUGAGACAUGCACCACCAUGCCUAGCUCAAAUCAAAGCUCUUAACAACAGUUCUGGGUUAUCUUGGUCCCUUGAGUCAUUGUGUUUCUAUUUAGCAAUUAUAACUUAUUGCCACAUCUGAGACAAACCACAGACACAAACACCCUUUGUUCUUCUCCAUCCUGUUGUGGUAUAUCUAUGGAAAUAAUUCAGGAAUAUUUGUGUAUUCAUUCACUGUUUUAUUCUUGUGUUAUUUAUUCAAAUAACAGACAAAAGCAAGUUAAGGAAGGAGAGGAUUAAUGUUCACAUUGUGAGGUCAGUGUCUAUCCUGUCAAAGAAGGCAUGAUGACAGAAGUAUAAGGCAGUUAUUACAUUGUAUCAGCAGGAAUAAAAGAGAGAGAUGAACAAUAGUUUUUAGAUCACUUUCUCCUUAUAAGUCUAGGACCCCAGCCUAUGGAAUGUUACAGCCCAAACAUAGGAUGGAUAUCUCUCACCUUAGUUAUUGGAUCUAUGAAUUCAUAAAGCUGCCCAGAGCUUUAUCUCUGAGUAAUUCUGGGUCCAUCAAGUUGAUAUUAGCCAUAACAAUUUUAAGACUCUUAAAAACCCUUUGUGUCAUCUUCCUUUAGGUGCUACAGUGGCUGGCCACUACCAGAAAAAUGCAUAGCAAUAUGCAUGCUAAGUUUCAAACACAAAGCCAGCUGAACCCUCAAUACUACUCGACAGUACUGUUAAGUUUUAAAUUUUGUUUUCAUAAUAUGACUUCUUUAUACCUUAACUAGUUUCCUCGAACUUCCAACCCAGUAGUGUGGGUGGUGGUUCACACCUUUAACACUAAAAUCUCAAAAGACUGAAGAUUCACGUUUGAAGCCACUGAGAAAACUACCAGCAACAAAAUUCACUCCACAUUUGCCUUUUCCAAUCCUCUCGAGUACAUGAGUUUAAGUUAUACUAAAAUUUGAAAACAUCUGAACCAUGUUUAAAAUUUUAUCUUUGAAAAUAUCAUCAUCACUGAAAUAUGCUAAGCAGCUAGAUAAUAUUAAGGGAUAAAGCCAGAGAAGACAAACGAAGCAAAGUCCCGAAGAGAAUCAUAAGCUAUCCUAAGAAAUUUACAAUAGAGCGGUGGGAAGUUUGAAAGGAUUUUAAGCAGAAGAGUAAAACAAUAUGAUCCUUGUUCUCAAAAAGAUAGUUGGGCCAAGCAGUGGUGGUGCAUGCCUUUAAUCCCAGCACUUGGGAGGCAAAGGCAGGCAGAUAUUUUGAGUUUGAGGCCAGCCUGGUCUACAGUGUGAGUUCCAGGACAGCCAGGGCUACACAGAGAAACCCUGUCUCAAACAAAACAAAACAACAGCAACAAAAAAAAAGAUAGCUGGGUGCUUCGUAGAGCAUGGGCUAGAGCGACAACCGCUAACUAUGAAACCAUCUCAGAAAUCCAGGUGGAGAAAAAUAAUGGCUUGAGUUCUCUUAAAGCACUGGAGAUAUGAGUGGUUAAAUCUGGGUGUGAUUUGAAAAUAGGCCCAAUAUGUUGAGUGACAGAACACCAGUAUAUUUCUCCAUUUCUAACUAUAGAUACAAUGUGAGCCUCCUUACAAUCAUGGACUCCCUGCCGUGAUAAAAUUGUUUCUAUUCAAACUAUAAGCC